rnacentral:rRNA from 1 species
UACAGAGGGGGCAAGCGUUGUUCGGAAUUACUGGGCGUAAAGGGCGCGUAGGCGGCCUGCUAAGUCGAACGUGAAAUCCCCGGGCUCAACCCGGGAACUGCGUCCGAUACUGGUUGGCUUGAAUCCGGGAGAGGGAUGCGGAAUUCCAGGUGUAGCGGUGAAAUGCGUAGAUAUAGGAAGGAACACCAGUGGCGAAGGCGACCACCUGGACUGAUACUGACACUGAGGUGCGAAAGCGUGGGGAGCAAACAGG